rnacentral:rRNA from 1 species
AUUGAACGCUGGCGGCAGGCCUAACACAUGCAAGUCGAGCGGCAGCGGGAAAGUAGCUUGCUACUUUUGCCGGCGAGCGGCGGACGGGUGAGUAAUGCCUGGGGAUCUGCCCAGUCGAGGGGGAUAACUACUGGAAACGGUAGCUAAUACCGCAUACGCCCUACGGGGGAAAGCAGGGGACCUUCGGGCCUUGCGCGAUUGGAUGAACCCAGGUGGGAUUAGCUAGUUGGUGAGGUAAUGGCUCACCAAGGCGACGAUCCCUAGCUGGUCUGAGAGGAUGAUCAGCCACACUGGAACUGAGACACGGUCCAGACUCCUACGGGAGGCAGCAGUGGGGAAUAUUGCACAAUGGGGGAAACCCUGAUGCAGCCAUGCCGCGUGUGUGAAGAAGGCCUUCGGGUUGUAAAGCACUUUCAGCGAGGAGGAAAGGUUGGUAGCUAAUAACUGCCAGCUGUGACGUUACUCGCAGAAGAAGCACUUACUAACUACGUGCCAGCCGCCGCAGUAAAAC